rnacentral:rRNA from 1 species
UGGGGAAUAUUGGACAAUGGGCGCAAGCCUGAUCCAGCAAUGCCGCGUGUGUGAAGAAGGCCUGCGGGUUGUAAAGCACUUUUGUUCGGGAAGAAAUCAUGCUGGUUAAUACCUGGUAUGGAUGACGGUACCGAAAGAAUAAGCACCGGCUAACUUCGUGCCAGCAGCCGCGGUAAUACGAAGGGUGCAAGCGUUAAUCGGAAUUACUGGGCGUAAAGGGUGCGUAGGCGGCCUUUUAAGUCGGAUGUGA